rnacentral:tRNA from 1 species
GCGCCCUUAGCUCAACUGGAUAGAGCGUCGGUCUUCGGAACCGAAGGUUACAAGUUCGACCCUUGUAGGGCGCA